rnacentral:rRNA from 1 species
AGAGUUUGAUCAUGGCUCAGAUUGAACGCUGGCGGCACGCCUAACACAUGCAAGUCGAGCGGCAGCGCGAUAAGUAGCAAUACUUAUUGGCGGCGAGCGGCGGACGGGUGAGUAACACGUAGGAACCUGCCCAGAAGUGGGGGAUAACUAAUGGAAACGUUAGCUAAUACCGCAUAUAUUCGAGAGAAGAAAGCUGCAGCAAUGUGGCGCUUUUGGAGGGGCCUGCGUACGAUUAGCUAGUUGGUGAGGUAAUGGCUCACCAAAGCUAUGAUCGUUAACUGGUCUGAGAGGACGACCAGUCACACUGGGACUGAGACACGGCCCAGACUCCUACGGGAGGCAGCAGUGGGGAAUCUUGGACAAUGGGGGCAACCCUGAUCCAGCGAUGCCGCGUGAGUGAAGAAGGCCUUCGGGUCGUAAAGCUCUUUAGGCUGGGAAGAAGGUUGAUUGAGGAAAUGCUUUCAACUUGACGGUACCAGCAGAAUAAGCACCGGCAAACUCUGUGCCAGCAGCCGCGGUAAUACAGAGGGUGCGAGCGUUAAUCGGAGUAACUGGGCGUAAAGGGUGCGUAGGCGGUUUAGCGAGUGUGAUGUGAAAGCCCCGGGCUUAACCUGGGAAGUGCAUCGCAAACGGCUAGACUAGAGUAGAUGAGAGGGUGAUGGAAUUUCCGGUGUAGCGGUGAAAUGCGUAGAGAUCGGAAGGAACGUCGAUGGCGAAGGCAGUCACCUGGCAUCAUACUGACGCUGAGGCACGAAAGCGUGGGGAGCAAACAGGAUUAGAUACCCUAGUAGUCC